UCCCUGAUGGUCUAGUGGUCAGGACUCGGUGCUCUCACCGCCGCGGCCUGGGUUCAAUUCCCGAUCAGGGAA
rnacentral:tRNA from 1 species